UUGCUAUGUUGAACCUGGCCCGAAGAGAUCCAGCUAAUCAUUCUGUGUUGAUUUCAUAUUGAAUUCUUUCACCUCGUUCACCGCCAUUCACCGCAUAAUAGUCUCCUGCACCGCAUGAGAUAAGCAGGUCACAACAAUCUACUAUUGUCUUUAAUUUCACAAAAAUUUCAGAUCGGCCCUGGUGGCUUAGUGGUAGUUCGCAUGGGCUGUCUCUAUUAACGUUUGGGUUCAAAUCACGUUGAACUCAUAUUUUGUAGCGGACUCACAAUAUUUUUUUUCCCUUUAUAUAAUCUGGCUAUUUUUUACUCUUUUUAUAGUUCUAUGUGAGAAAUCGCUUUGCAAGUAGUAUAAAAUAUUGCUAUGUUGAACCUGGCCCGAAGAGAUCCAGCCAAUCAUUCUGUGUUGAUCAUUUCAUAUUGAAUUCUUUCACCGCGUUCACCGCCAUUCACCGCAUAAUAGUCUCCUGCACCGCAUGAGAUAAGCAGGUCACAACAAUCUACUAUUGUCUUUAAUUUCACAAAAAUUUCAGAUCGGCCCUGGUGGCUUAGUGGUAGUUCGUAUGGCCUGUCUCUAUUAACGUUUGGGUUCAAAUCACGUUGAACUCAUAUUUUAUAGCGGACUCACAAUAUUUUUUUUCCCUUUAUAUAAUCUGGCUAUUUUUUACUCUUUUUAUAGUUCUAUGUGAGAAAUCGCUUUGCAAGUAGUAUAAAAUAUUGCUAUGUUGAACCUGGCCCGAAGAGAUCCAGCUAAUCAUUCUCUGUUGAUUU
rnacentral:lncRNA from 1 species